rnacentral:rRNA from 1 species
CCUACGGGGGACAGCAGUAGGGAAUAUUGCUCAAUGGGGGAAAGCCUGAAGCAGCAACGCCGCGUGGAGGAUGAAGGUUUUCGGAUUGUAAACUCCUUUUGUUAGAGAAGAUAAUGACGGUAUCUAACGAAUAAGCACCGGCUAAAGCCGUGCCAGCAGCCGCGGUAAUACGGCGGGUGCAAGCGUUACUCGGAAUCACUGGGGGUAAAGAGCGCGUAGGAGGGAUAGAAAGUCAGAUGUGAAAGCCUAUGGCUUAACCAUAGAACUGCAUUUGAAACUGUUAUUCUAGAGUAUGGGAGAGGUAGGUGGAAUUCUUGGUGUAGGGGUAAAAUCCGUAGAGAUCAAGAGGAAUACUCAUUGCGAAGGCGACCUGCUAGAACAUAACUGACGCUGAUGCGCGAAAGCGUGGGGAGCAAACAGGAUUAGAUACCCGGGUAGUC